rnacentral:rRNA from 1 species
GACGAACGCUGGCGGCGUGCUUAACACAUGCAAGUCGAACGGAAAGGCCCUGCUUUUGUUGGGUUCUCGAGUGGCGAACGGGUGAGUAACACGUGAGUAACCUGCCCUUGACUUUGGGAUAACUUCAGGAAACUGGGGCUAAUACCGGAUAGGAUCUCCUGCUCCAUGGUGGGGGCUGGAAAGUUUCGGCGGUUGGGGAUGGACUCGCGGCUUAUCAGCUUGUUGGUGGGGUAGUGGCGUACCAAGGCUUUGACGGGUAGCCGGCCUGAGAGGGUGACCGGGCACAGUGGGACUGAGGUACGGCCCAGACUGCUACGGGAGGCAGGAGUGGGGAAUAUUGCACAACGGGGGGAAGCCUGGGGCAGAAAAGCCGGGUGCGGGAUGAAGGGCUUUGGGGUGGAAACCGAUUUCGCCUGUGACGAAGCGGGAGUGACGGGAAUGGGUAAAGAAGCACCGGCUAACUACGUG